rnacentral:rRNA from 1 species
CUUCCGGGAGGCAGCAGUGGGGAAUAUUGCACAAUGGGGGCAACCCUGAUGCAGCCAUGCCGCGUGUAUGAAGAAGGCCUUAGGGUUGUAAAGUACUUUCAGCGGGGAGGAAGGGGAAAAGGUUAAUAGCCUUUUUCAUUGACGUUACCCGCAGAGAGCCCGUCC